CCUACGUGAGGCAGCAGUGGGGAAUAUUGCACAAUGGGGGGAAGCCUGAUGCAGCGACGCCGCGUGGGUGAAGGAGUAUUUCGGUAUGUAAAGCACUAUCAGCAGGGAAGAACAAUGACGGUAGCUGACUAAGAAGCACCGGCUAAAUACGUGCCAGCAGCCGCGGUAAUACGUAUGGUGGAAGCGUUAUCAGGAUUUACGGGGUGUAAAGGGAGCGCAGGCGGCGCGUUAAGCCGGGUGUGAAAGUACGCGGCCCAACCGCGGGACUGCAUUGGGAACUGGCGCGCUGGAGUGCCGGAGGGGUAGGCGGAAUUCCUAGUGUAGCGGUGAAAUGCGUAGAUAUUAGGAGGAACACCAGUGGCGAAGGCGGCCUACUGGACGGUGACUGACGCUGAGGCUCGAAAGCGUGGGGAGCAAACAGGAUUAGAUACCCCAGUAGUC
rnacentral:rRNA from 1 species